UUGGUUCCAGAUUCAUUGUUUCCAGAAGCAUCUUCUACAGCCUGCAAACCCUGUGCUUCCUGUGCAUCCUACCAUCAUCAGCCUUCAGUAGGAGAUAUUUUUAAUGAAGGUGAAUUCUCACUGUCAUAAACAAGAUGGGUCCAGGGCUUUUCUUUCCAGAAGUAUCAUGGCUUGCAUAGCAAAGGGGGUGGGAGUGGGGUGGGCAAGCAAUAGGCACCCCCCUUCCUGUUCAUGAUCCUGCCAUAAUCACAAACACAAGAACACUGCUACAUCAGUACCAGUGAUUUUCCAGAAGUCUCCGUCCUUCUAGAAUGAGGAACCAAAAGAACUACAAAGAAGAGGCAUGAGGCUCCAGGACUGUCCAGAUUAAUGGUGUUGCCAAGGGGAGACUAAAACAUGAAGAUAAGUGUUUUUCUUUACAUUCACUCCCUAUCAUUAAACUCGUAAAACACAUGUGCUUCUCUGGGUCAAUAUAUAACUGAGGAACUUU